GGAGGGUGCAAGCGUUAAUCGGAAUUACUGGGCGUAAAGCGCACGCAGGCGGUUUGUUAAGUCAGAUGUGAAAUCCCCGGGCUCAACCUGGGAACUGCAUCUGAUACUGGCAAGCUUGAGUCUCGUAGAGGGGGGUAGAAUUCCAGGUGUAGCGGUGAAAUGCGUAGAGAUCUGGAGGAAUACCGGUGGCGAAGGCGGCCCCCUGGACGAAGACUGACGCUCAGGUGCGAAAGCGUGGGGAGCAAACAGGAUUAGAUACCCUGGUAGUCCACGCCGUAAACGAUGUCGACUUGGAGGUUGUGCCCUUGAGGCGUGGCUUCCGGAGCUAACGCGUUAAGUCGACCGCCUGGGGAGUACGGCCGCAAGGUUAAAACUCAAAGGAAUUGACGGCAGCAGCCGCGGUAAUACCAGGUCUGUGAUGCAAACUCAAAG
rnacentral:rRNA from 1 species